rnacentral:lncRNA from 1 species
UCCUAUUUGCCGACCCGCCCCGACCGAGCUCGGGGUGCCCCAUCCAAUAAUGUGCCUCAACCCUUGAGCUGGGGGCACCCAACCAAGCACGCCUCGAAACCCGGGAUGCUAAACUAGUCUCAACAUCUGUCAAGCCGACCUCGCCAAAUGCAUGAUGCGAUCCCUCGAAGAGCUCGGCCUUGCCGACAGCCGCACCCAUGUGCGUGCCCACGCCCUCCUACGUGGCUGUACAUUGCGACGCCACCACGCCAUGCUUUGCUUGCUGGCCCACGACAGUUAAGGACAACGCCAUACUACCCCAGCCAUAUCCUGCUACGAC